rnacentral:tRNA from 1 species
UUUUAAGGUAAGCUAAACUUAAGCUUCUGGGCUCAUAACCCAAGAAUAGAUCUACCCCUCCUUUAAG